UAUGUAUAUAUUUUUGAUAUGUAAAGUCAUGCAUGUUUUAUUUCCUCUGUCCAAUACAUAAUCUCUAACUAAAGGACUGGAUAUCUUCCAGUCUUUUUUUACUUUUCUGUACAGCUCUUGAGCAAAUCUUUCUGCUGCACCUGCCUUUUGACCAUGGUUUAGAGUCACUCAGUGUCUUCUCAUAUUCAUAAAAGUCUAAAUGCUGCCUAUUCCACUGCUCAGGACUCCACCUGGUAGUCUCAUGUUGCCUUAGAUAACAAGAAACCUAAUGGCACCUUUCUCCCAGAAUACACACUCUGCUUACUGCUGUUAUGGACAAGGAGACAAACCAAACAGGAUCUGGACACCUUUGUUCAAGACAGAAGUUUUCCUUCUUGGCUAUGGUGGAUGUGUCUAUAGCGACUCAGUAGUUUCAGAAUCAGCUUUUGGUUGUAAUCAGGCCUCCUGUGGGAAGUUGGAGCCCCAGGGAUCUACAAUCCACCUCCUGAAGAUGUGCUGUUAA
rnacentral:lncRNA from 1 species